ncrna:unclassified sequences ilvB-OMG RNA
GUCACGCGAGCGGCAACGGUUACUGGUGAGUACCCUCACCCUCUGGCCUACCUCAGAGACGGGAUAGUUUCUCACGCUGUUUGCGGGUUCCGUCACGCGAGGCAAAGCCUCUGCCACUCGGGCUCGACGCUGCGUUACCCGCAGGUCAGCGAUACACGGGUUUCGUGAUCGUGAUCUGGCAGGUGCCGGACCGAUCCGGACCAGUG